rnacentral:rRNA from 1 species
UUUAUGGAGAGUUUGAUCCUGGCUCAGGAUGAACGCUGGCGGCGUGCCUAAUACAUGCAAGUCGAGCGAACGGACGAGAAGCUUGCUUCUCUGAUGUUAGCGGCGGACGGGUGAGUAACACGUGGAUAACCUACCUAUAAGACUGGGAUAACUUCGGGAAACCGGAGCUAAUACCGGAUAAUAUUUUGAACCGCAUGGUUCAAAAGUGAAAGACGGUCUUGCUGUCACUUAUAGAUGGAUCCGCGCUGCAUUAGCUAGUUGGUAAGGUAACGGCUUACCAAGGCAACGAUGCAUAGCCGACCUGAGAGGGUGAUCGGCCACACUGGAACUGAGACACGGUCCAGACUCCUACGGGAGGCAGCAGUAGGGAAUCUUCCGCAAUGGGCGAAAGCCUGACGGAGCAACGCCGCGUGAGUGAUGAAGGUCUUCGGAUCGUAAAACUCUGUUAUUAGGGAAGAACAUAUGUGUAAGUAACUGUGCACAUCUUGACGGUACCUAAUCAGAAAGCCACGGCUAACUACGUGCCAGCAGCCGCGGUAAUACGUAGGUGGCAAGCGUUAUCCGGAAUUAUUGGGCGUAAAGCGCGCGUAGGCGGUUUUUUAAGUCUGAUGUGAAAGCCCACGGCUCAACCGUGGAGGGUCAUUGGAAACUGGAAAACUUGAGUGCAGAAGAGGAAAGUGGAAUUCCAUGUGUAGCGGUGAAAUGCGCAGAGAUAUGGAGGAACACCAGUGGCGAAGGCGACUUUCUGGUCUGUAACUGACGCUGAUGUGCGAAAGCGUGGGGAUCAAACAGGAUUAGAUACCCUGGUAGUCCACGCCGUAAACGAUGAGUGCUAAGUGUUAGGGGGUUUCCGCCCCUUAGUGCUGCAGCUAACGCAUUAAGCACUCCGCCUGGGGAGUACGACCGCAAGGUUGAAACUCAAAGGAAUUGACGGGGACCCGCACAAGCGGUGGAGCAUGUGGUUUAAUUCGAAGCAACGCGAAGAACCUUACCAAAUCUUGACAUCCUUUGACAACUCUAGAGAUAGAGCCUUCCCCUUCGGGGGGCAAAGUGACAGGUGGUGCAUGGUUGUCGUCAGCUCGUGUCGUGAGAUGUUGGGUUAAGUCCCGCAACGAGCGCAACCCUUAAGCUUAGUUGCCAUCAUUAAGUUGGGCACUCUAAGUUGACUGCCGGUGACAAACCGGAGGAAGGUGGGGAUGACGUCAAAUCAUCAUGCCCCUUAUGAUUUGGGCUACACACGUGCUACAAUGGACAAUACAAAGGGCAGCGAAACCGCGAGGUCAAGCAAAUCCCAUAAAGUUGUUCUAAGUUCGGAUUGUAGUCUGCAACUCGACUACAUGAAGCUGGAAUCGCUAGUAAUCGUAGAUCAGCAUGCUACGGUGAAUACGUUCCCGGGUCUUGUACACACCGCCCGUCACACCACGAGAGUUUGUAACACCCGAAGCCGGUGGAGUAACCUUUUAGGAGCUAGCCGUCGAAGGUGGGACAAAUGAUUGGGGUGAAGUCGUAACAAGGUAGCCGUAUCGGAAGGUGCGGCUGGAUCACCUCCUUU